AUGUAGUGUAGCAAGCCCGUUGUGGAAUCACUCUGAUGAAUAUUUGUUAUUUAAUUGCUUUUGGGUAACGGGGUGUUACAAGACG
rnacentral:pre_miRNA from 1 species